rnacentral:rRNA from 1 species
UAUCAGCCUGUAGUGGGUGUAACGAACCCACUACCCUACUUCCGGUUAGCGGCGUUGAGAGACGGAGCCCCCACAUGGUUAUGAUACAGGAAUCCAGGCCUAUCGGGGCGCAGCAGCUACGAAAUCUGCACACUGUGGGAAACCACGAUGUGGGUAUUCUGAGUGACAACGCAUUGCGUUGUAUGUUCUUUCGCCUAAAAAGCGAGAGAAGUAAGGUCCGGGUAAGACGGGUGCCAGCCGCCCCGGUAAUACCCGCGGCCCGAGUGGUGCUCAUUAUUAUUGAGCUUAAAGCGUUCGUAGCCGGCCUCGUAAAUCCUUGGGUAAAUCGGGCAGCUCAACUGUUCGAAUUCCGAGGAGACUGCGAGGCUCGGGACCGGGAGAGGUCAGAGGUUCUUCGGGGGUAGGGGUAAAAUCCUGUAAUCCUCGAAGGACCCCCACUGGCGAAGGCGUCUGACUAGAACGGAUCCGACGGUGAGGGAUGAAGCCCUGGGGCGCAAUCGGGAUUAGAUACCCCGGUAGUCCAGGGUGUAAACGCUGCGGGCUUGGUGUCGGAGGUCCUACGUGGGCGUCCGGUGCCGGAGAGAAAUUGUUAAGCCUGCCGCUUGGGGAGUACGGUCGCAAGACUGAAACUUAAAGGAAUUGGCGGGAGAGCACCGCACCGGGAGGAGCGUGCGGUUCAAUUGGAUUCAACGCCGG